rnacentral:rRNA from 1 species
AGAGUUUGAUCCUGGCUCAGGAUGAACGCUGGCGGCGUGCUUAACACAUGCAAGUCGAACGAACCUUCGGGUUAGUGGCGGACGGGUGAGUAACGCGUGAGAAUCUGCCCUCAGGAAGGGGAUAACGGCUGGAAACGGCCGCUAAUACCCCAUAUGCCGAGAGGUGAAAUGAAUUUCGCCUGAGGAUGAGCUCGCGUCUGAUUAGCUAGUUGGUGGGGUAAGAGCCUACCAAGGCUUCGAUCAGUAGCUGGUCUGAGAGGAUGAUCAGCCACACUGGGACUGAGACACGGCCCAGACUCCUACGGGAGGCAGCAGUGGGGAAUUUUCCGCAAUGGGCGAAAGCCUGACGGAGCAACGCCGCGUGAGGGAUGAAGGCCUCUGGGCUGUAAACCUCUUUUCUCAAGGAAGAAGAUCUGACGGUACUUGAGGAGUAAGCCACGGCUAAUUCCGUGCCAGCAGCCGCGGUAAUACGGGAGUGGCAAGCGUUAUCCGGAAUUAUUGGGCGUAAAGCGUCCGCAGGCGGCCUUGAAAGUCUGCUGUUAAAGCGUGGAGCUUAACUCCAUUUCAGCAGUGGAAACUACAAGGCUAGAGUGUGGUAGGGGCAGAGGGAAUUCCCGGUGUAGCGGUGAAAUGCGUAGAUAUCGGGAAGAACACCAGUGGCGAAGGCGCUCUGCUGGGCCAUAACUGACGCUCAUGGACGAAAGCCAGGGGAGCGAAAGGGAUUAGAUACCCCUGUAGUCCUGGCCGUAAACGAUGAACACUAGGUGUCGGGGGAAUCGACCCCUCCGGUGUCGUAGCCAACGCGUUAAGUGUUCCGCCUGGGGAGUACGCACGCAAGUGUGAAACUCAAAGGAAUUGACGGGGGCCCGCACAAGCGGUGGAGUAUGUGGGUUAAUUCGAUGCAACGCGAAGAACCUUACCAGGGUUUGACAUCCUGCGAAUCCCUUGGAAACGAGGGAGUGCCUUCGGGAGCGCAGUGACAGGUGGUGCAUGGCUGUCGUCAGCUCGUGUCGUGAGAUGUUGGGUUAAGUCCCGCAACGAGCGCAACCCACGUCUUUAGUUGCCAGCAUUGAGUUGGGCACUCUAGAGAGACCGCCGGUGAUAAACCGGAGGAAGGUGUGGAUGACGUCAAGUCAUCAUGCCCCUUACAUCCUGGGCUACACACGUACUACAAUGCUACGGACAAAGGGCAGCAAACUCGCGAGAGCUAGCAAAUCCCAUAAACCGUGGCUCAGUUCAGAUCGUAGGCUGCAACUCGCCUACGUGAAGGAGGAAUCGCUAGUAAUCGCAGGUCAGCAUACUGCGGUGAAUACGUUCCCGGGCCUUGUACACAC